rnacentral:rRNA from 1 species
UGAGUAACCUGCCCUUCACUCUGGGAUAACUCCGGGAAACCGGUGCUAAUACUGGAUAUCGACUUCUGCCUCGCAUGGGGUGUUGUUGAAAGUUUUUCGGCUGGGGAUGGGCCCGCGGCCUAUAAGCUUGUUGGUGGGGUGAUGGCCUACCAAGGCAACGACGGGUAGCUGGUCUGAGAGGAUGGCCAGCCACAUUGGGACUGAGACACGGCCCAGACUCCUACGGGAGCA